rnacentral:rRNA from 1 species
AGUGAACGCUGGCGGUAGGCCUAACACAUGCAAGUCGAACGGCAGCACAGUAAGAGCUUGCUCUUACGGGUGGCGAGUGGCGGACGGGUGAGGAAUACAUCGGAAUCUACUUUUUCGUGGGGGAUAACGUAGGGAAACUUACGCUAAUACCGCAUACGACCUACGGGUGAAAGCAGGGGAUCUUCGGACCUUGCGCGAUUGAAUGAGCCGAUGUCGGAUUAGCUAGUUGGCGGGGUAAAGGCCCACCAAGGCGACGAUCCGUAGCUGGUCUGAGAGGAUGAUAGGCCACACUGGAACUGAGACACGGUCCAGACGCCUACGGGAGGCAGCAGUGGGGAAUAUUGGACAAUGGGCGCAAGCCUGAUCCAGCCAUACCGCGUGGGUGAAGAAGGCCUUCGGGUUGUAAAGCCCUUUUGUUGGGAAAGAAAAGCAGCAGGUUAAUACCCCGCUGUUCUGACGGUACCCAAAGAAUAAGCACCGGCUAACUUCGU